GCUAGGACGAACGCUGGCGGCGUGCCUAACACAUGCAAGUCGAGCGGGGACAUGCGACGGAGUCGAAGUUUCGGAUGGAGACAAAGAUGUAUUGUUCUAGCGGCGGACGGGUGAGUAACGCGUGAGCAACCUGUCCCUUACAGGGGGAUAACACAGCGAAAGUUGUACUAAUACCGCAUAAGACCACAGAGUGACAUCGCUCAGGGGUCAAAGGAGCAAUCCGGUAAGGGGUGGGCUCGCGUCCGAUUAGAUAGUUGGUGAGGUAACGGCCCACCAAGUCGACGAUCGGUAGCCGACCUGAGAGGGUGAUCGGCCACAUUGGGACUGAGACACGGCCCAAACUCCUACGGGAGGCAGCAGUGGGGAAUAUUGGGCAAUGGGGGGAAACCCUGACCCAGCAACGCCGCGUGAGGGAAGAAGGUUUUCGGAUCGUAAACCUCUGUCCUUGGUGAAGAGGAAGAGACGGUAGCCAAGGAGGAAGCCCCGGCUAACUACGUGCCAGCCGCGGC
rnacentral:rRNA from 1 species